CUGCAGUCUGCAACUCGACUGCACGAAGCUGGAAUCGCUAGUAAUCGCGGAUNAGCACGCCGCGGUGAAUACGUUCCCGGGCCUUGUACACACCGCCCGUCACACCAUGGAAGUCUGCAAUGCCCGAAGCCGGUGGCCUAACCACUUAUGUGGAAGGAGCCGUCUAAGGCAGGGCAGAUGACUGGGGUGAAGUCGUAACAAGGUAGC
rnacentral:rRNA from 1 species